ensembl:lncRNA
CCCCUCCUUCCCCCCCGUCUCCCCCCCACCCAAAAAAAAGAUCAAUGAACAGCAGCAAAGCAGCGGGAGGAGUUUGAGUCAACCAAUCCCAGCAGGCCGUGGGGAGCCGCAUCUGACGCAAACCAGGAAGCCACCUGAUGUGAGAGGGGUCAAAUAAACGCAACAGGACUGACGGUCACACGGGACAGGUGCUUCCUUAAUGAUACACAUCACACACACACACACACACACACACACACACACGCACACGCACACACACACACAAACUAUAUUAGGUCUGUUGCUCAUCUCCUCCCUCAGCUGUGUCAGAGGCUUUCCCAGACAUCCAGCCCUCGCACACACACACACACACACACACACACACACACACACACACAUGCGUCCUCAGACAGGAGGGACGGGGUGGGAGGACAGGCGGGCCAAGGAGGACGGAGGACAGGGCACGCACGCAGACAAGCCAUCAGGCAGGAAACUCUAGAGAGCAGCCGCGGCUAUUUUCUCUCCUCCAUUCUCUCGGUUUCCACUUCGAACAAAACAGGUGGGGAGUGAUGGGGGGGAGGAGGGGGGGGGGAGGAGGGGAGGGGGGGGGGGCUGUGGCACUAUUAAGAAGCCAAAUAAACCUUGAAGAAAGUGUUAAAAGGAAACUGAGCACCGAAAUAGUCGAACGUCCCCUGUCCCGUUGCGUACGAGGGGGGGAUUUGGACGGCUCAUCCUUCCUCUCACGUUUCCUCCUCGCGCACGUCGAGCACGCCGGACAGGCCGCUCUGCGGUGACCUGCGGGCCGCGAUUGAAGCGCGAUGAGGCCCGGGAGGAGUGCGGGGUCCAUACGUGCAGACGGCCUCAAUAAAACAAUGGGGCCGUCACAGGGAGGAGGGGCGGGGGGGGGGGACGGCGGUCGGGUUUAGGGACGAGAAUAGGGAAGGGGAAAGGGGGGAAGGUUGUCUGGGUAAGUGGCGAGAGGUUUGCACGUAUGCAGUCCUGCGUUAAACACACAGCGCACGCGUGCACACACUGACACACGUUUGGAACCUAUUAAACUUCUGACCUAAGGGGAACAUAUAUAUAUAUAUAUAUAUGAUGCAUAUUGUUCGUGAGGAUCAGUUGGGCACUUUGGGACCUUUUUCCGCCUCUGUUUGUUUUAAAUGGUCCACGCACAGCGUGUGUAGACCAACAGGAAAAGAAAAAACUCAUUUAAUCGCAUUUUUUCUUUUUUUCUUUUUCUCCCGCAUCUCCCUGCGGCCGCUUGUUCUCGGGGCCGCUGCACCUCGUACCCACGAACACUCUGGGAUUGUUUUGAGCUGUCCGGCGGAGGAAGGAAAGCGGUGUGAGAAAGUGGCUGUUUUUUUGCAGCGGACAGGAAUUGGCCUCACGGCGCACGGUUCCUCUCCGCGCAGCGGGAACAAUGCCGUGGCGUCACACCCCUGCGCUGACCCUCGCCGUUUCACAUGGAAAAAUGUUCCCAGAAUUCCGCUCCCAGGCUUGGAGGUAUGAGGCCCGGGAGCAGGGAGGGGAGGGAGAGGGGGAUGAAACGGAAGGUAACGGAAGGUAAGAGGAAACCGAUGCUACCAGAGGCAUUUGUCGCCAUGGCGACCUAAGCUACCGCUGAUUAGCUCAAUGGAGGAAAGGCGGGGGGGGGGGGGCGUGGCUUUAAAUCACAGCGCAGGCGUCGUAAACCACAGCUUCAACUUCUUGCCAUGUCACAGCUCCGCCCGCCCCCCCGCUGCCCUUUCCUUGUACAAAAACUAAUCAGACUAAUCACAUGUGUUGUGUUGUGUUAGAAGAUGUGACAUUGGCACGCACAGCUGGACUUCCUUGAAGUGGCCAGAGAGCCACGUUAGGGGAGCGUUCCCGCUGGCGGCCGCUAACGAGGCCAACGGGGGGGCCGGGCAGCAGGCAAGGGGCCGGGGUGGGCUCCUGUUAGCUGUUAGUUAGGUUUUGGAAAGUAUUGUGAGGGGUGCGGGGGGGGUUUGGCCACUUAUUUCUUCUUUUUUAAACAAAAGGGAAAUCACAGAAUAAGAUGUUCUUACUGCAAUUACCUCCCACGGUCCCGAUAAUGGUCUGUACAGUCUUAUAUGCCAGAGAAAUGAAGGCAAAACAUUUAAAAGUUGUUUGUUAAGAGGAUACCAGGGACAGUGAAAGCUGUGCCUCUCAAAAUGUGCUGCACAUGCAACAAUGAAUUAGGAUAAACGAGAGUUCACUUCAGUGUCACGUCAAAAACUGAGAAACUUAAUUUAAUUUGAAUGCACCAAUAUCAUAUUCACAAUUCAUUCCUCAUGACCAACACUGAAAACUGCAGCAGCUGAUUCAUGUCACACCGCAGCAAAAAAAAGCAUCCGGCGAUGCUUCAUUUACAGCAGCCGUAAAACUGUUGAGCCGCCUCGCCAGGAACAUUAUUCCCCCGGUGCCGAACAUGCAGCUUGCUGCAGACUAUUACCAAGUUACAAGCCCCUGUGAAUGUGCGGAUCUGAAAUAAAACCCUCAGUAAAACCGGCACGUAGCUUGCAGGGGAAAACAUGGCGGUGUGUUCAUGGCUCUUUCCGGGUGGACUUGGCGUCACGGCGGCCAUGAUAGAUGUUUUCUAUCCUCCGUGGAGUUACUGUGAGGAGUUUGAAAAUAAGAAGGUUAGUGAAUCUGUUAUUUGGUGUAACAUUUUUUUUCCCCAGAAACAACAACUUGAAAGAUGCGCUUCAGAGGCAGACAACAAAACAUGCUGAUAAGGACAAACGUAAGCUAAGCAUGUAGGCAAGCAUGUAAGCUAAGCAUGUAGGCUAAGCGCUAAGCAUGUAAGCUAAGCAUGUAGGCUAAGCAUGUAGGCUAAGCAUGUAAGCAAAGCAUGUAAGCUAAGCAUGUAGGCUAAGCAAGUAGGCUAAGCAUUUAAGCUAAGCAUGUAAGCUAAGCGCUAAGCAUGUAAGCUAAGCAUGUAGACUAAGCAUGUAAGAUAAGCAUGUAAGCUAAGCAUGUAGGCUAAGCAUGUAAGCUAAGCAUGUAAACUAAGCAUGCAGGAUAAGCAUGUAGGCUAAGCAAAUACGCUAAGCAUGUAAGCUAAGCAUGUAGGCUAAGCAUGUAAGCUAAGCAUGUAAGCUUAGCAUGUAGGCUAAGCAUGUAGGCUAAUCAUGUAAGCUAAUCAUGUAGGCUAAGCAUGUAAGCUAAGCAUGUAAGAGGGUGACUUGGUGUUCUGUUUUCUUGAAUCAUUCAUUUGUAGGACGGCAGUUUCACACCGACGUCACGGUGGACGCUGGAGGUGGGAGGGAGG